rnacentral:rRNA from 1 species
GACGAACGCUGGCGGCGUGCUUAACACAUGCAAGUCGAACGGAAAGGCCUCUUUCGGGGGGUACUCGAGUGGCGAACGGGUGAGUAACACGUGAGUAACCUGCCCUUGACUUUGGGAUAACUUCAGGCAACUGGGGCUAAUACCGGAUAGGAGCUCCUGCUGCAUGGUGGGGGUUGGAAAGUUUCGGCGGUUGGGGAUGGACUCGCGGCUUAUCAGCUUGUUGGUGGGGUAGUGGCUUACCAAGGCUUUGACGGGUAGCCGGCCUGAGAGGGUGACCGGCGACAUUGGGACUGAGAUAAGGCCCAGACUCCUACGGGAGGCAGCAGUGGGGAAGAUUGCACAAUGGGUGGAAGCCUGAUGCAGCAACGCCGUGUGCGGGAUGACGGCCUUCGGGUUGUAAACCGCUUUCGCUCAUGACGAAGCUUUGUGUGACGGUAGUGGGUAAAGAAGCACCGGCUAACUACGUG